CGUAGUUAAUGUCUGGUGUGACGCAGCAGUUUGACGCAAGUGUGUAACUUCGCCGACGCUGCCACAGAAAUGUAUGUUUUUGCCACUCAUUUCCCCUUCAUGCUGUGCGUAAAUGCACAAAGAGACAUUUUGGGGCAACGAUUGUGCCAAAUGACCACGUGUUCGAAGCACAAGACAUAAAACGAGACGGGCUCACUCUUCCUGGAACGAACCGUCACGGUGGCCGUCUUGGAAAGGUAUCCUCUGCGUUUGAGCGUCACCUCCAGGAAUUUGGCGUCCUCGUCCACAAGGUAGUACUCCCUCUCCAGUGAGAUCCAGGCCCAGUUGAGGCGGAAUGGCUGAGGCUUGAGUUUGUUUCCACCUGAAGGAAGGACGCAAGAAAGCAAAGCUUCAUUAGAUGCAACUGGGUCGUCGGGUGAAGGAAUGGCGGCUCGAUGACAUCUUGGCUUGGACAGGCAGCGGCUUUGCCAUCCGAGAGCAGAUAAGAAUAACCUGUAAGCCGUGCAUCAUGACGCCUCACCCCGCCAUAAAUCACGCUGGGAGAAAUAAAGGAUGAAAAGGGUAUGGAUACGUAGGCGAGGCCAUUCUGGGAAAUAGAUAUGAGACAUAAGCCUCAAAGGGGAAAAAAAGGUGAAGAAAUUAUGAAGACGAAUUGAGGAACAGUUUUUUCUUAUUGGACUUUGAAGGAUUGUGUUCUCCUGAGAUGAUGGUGUUGGUCUUUGAAAGGAGAGCCAUAGUCUUCACUUCCAGGCUCUGCUCUAUCUGUCUGUGGUCCUGGAGUCUGGAGUCUCGCAGGAAGUGCAUUCCACUCCCAGUUUCUCACUGAUCACAUGACACCCUCCCCUUUAACCUCCCUGAACCCUCCACUGCAGUCCUGUACUCUGCACCACCACCCCUAUAUGAUGACCACCGCCCAUCCAAUAAGAUCCACUACAAGGGUAGCAUCGUUGCAUCAUACUGAGAACUGUUUAUUCACAUUUGUGUUACCUUGUUGAGGCCAACAAGUCAGAUUUCAUCAAAAUUAAUACAUAAAAUAAAUCCACUAUUAAAGGAAAACAAAAUAAAGGAAUAGUGUCGUUUA